GGACAAAAGAAAGAGAGCAUGAGCCACGGGAUGGUGGAGAUGCUUUAGUAUGCUUUUCAAGAUUCGUAAUUUGUCAUCUCUUCCCUUCAUUUUUUCCUCUCUGUCCUUUUCAUUUUAUCUAUGUAUUUCAUUUUACAUGAAGUUUUCUCCCCACUUUUUCUCCUCCAGCGCCUUUUCUUUUGUUCCUUCAACUCUCUAAACACCCAGGAUAUUAUUGUUGUAAGUAUGAAUCAAAUAUAAAAUAAUAUAAAAAAGUUUUUCUUUUGGUGCAGAAAAAAGCAGUCUUUUGAAUCCUAAACGACCACUUGAGCUGCCUACUACAUAACCUUUAAUUUCAUUUUAAUGAUGUUAAAUGGUCCUUGCUUGGAACAACUAUAAAGAGAGGGGGAAGUAGAAGACUUUACUACGGUUGACAAAAUUAGGUAGAUAAAGAAGACUCCAGAGAAGAAGAAGAAAAAAGCAUAACCAAAAUCUAAAGUUACAGUUUUUGGUUAAUAAUUUCCACAAAUAGGAAGUUUGGAUCCACUUGUAGUGGACCAGAUCUGACUAACCUAUUUCCUUUCAAUGACGUUUUUACUCGCAAACAGUUUGCAACACCUGAACUUGCAUCCUUUUUUUGGACACCUUUUAGUUUGAUUGAGGCAUGGGAAAUGGUCUCCUAAAAUCCACCAUUCACGUUCCAUCGUUGUUCUUUAUAUCAGAAGAAGCUCAUAGUUUUGUUGAACAA